rnacentral:rRNA from 1 species
GUGGGGAAUAUUGGACAAUGGGCGAAAGCCUGAUCCAGCCAUGCCGCGUGUGUGAAGAAGGUCUUCGGAUUGUAAAGCACUUUAAGUUGGGAGGAAGGGCAGUAAGUUAAUACCUUGCUGUUUUGACGUUACCGACAGAAUAAGCACCGGCUAACUUCGUGCCAGCAGCCGCGGUAAUACGAAGGGUGCAAGCGUUAAUCGGAAUUACUGGGCGUAAAGCGCGCGUAGGUGGUUUUGUAAGUUGGAGGUGAAAUCCCCGGGCUCAACCUGGGAACUGCCUCCAAAACUGCAUGACUAGAGUACGGUAGAGGGUAGUGGAAUUUCCUGUGUAGCGGUGAAAUGCGUAGAUAUAGGAAGGAACACCAGUGGCGAAGGCGACUACCUGGACUGAUACUGACACUGAGGUGCGAAAGCGUGGGGAGCAAGCAGGAUUAGAAACCCGGGUAGUCC